GAUGCUGCUGCAAAUAAUUUAAAGCGGCUCACUGAAGAGUUUGGUUCAGAGUGGGCAAUGCAGCACGUAAUUCCACAGGUCUUGGAGAUGAGUAACAAUCCUCAGUAUUUGUACCGAAUGACUAUUUUACGUGCUGUCUCACUCCUUGCACCUGUAAUGGGCUCAGAAAUUACAUGUUCUAAACUGCUGCCACUGCUCAUCAUCGCAUCAAAAGACAGGGUACCGAACAUUAAGUUCAAUGUGGCAAAGAUUCUGAUGUCCCUCAUUCCCAUAGUUGAUCAAUCUGUAGUGGAGAAGACCUUCCGGCCCUGUUUGGUUGAACUGAGUGAGGAUCCAGAUGUUGAUGUCCGGUUUUUUGCCAACCAAGCAAUUCAGGCAAUCUAGCACUUCAGGCUAGACGCCUUUUAUACACACGGCUGAACUUACAA
rnacentral:misc_RNA from 1 species